rnacentral:rRNA from 1 species
GAUGAACGCUGGCGGCGUGCCUAAUACAUGCAAGUCGAGCGAACGGACGAGAAGCUUGCUUCUCUGAUGUUAGCGGCGGACGGGUGAGUAACACGUGGAUAACCUACCUAUAAGACUGGGAUAACUUCGGGAAACCGGAGCUAAUACCGGAUAAUAUUUUGAACCGCAUGGUUCAAAAGUGAAAGACGGUCUUGCUGUCACUUAUAGAUGGAUCCGCGCUGCAUUAGCUAGUUGGUAAGGUAACGGCUUACCAAGGCAACGAUGCAUAGCCGACCUGAGAGGGUGAUCGGCCACACUGGAACUGAGACACGGUCCAGACUCCUACGGGAGGCAGCAGUAGGGAAUCUUCCGCAAUGGGCGAAAGCCUGACGGAGCAACGCCGCGUGAGUGAUGAAGGUCUUCGGAUCGUAAAACUCUGUUAUUAGGGAAGAACAUAUGUGUAAGUAACUGUGCACAUCUUGACGGUACCUAAUCAGAAAGCCACGGCUAACUACGUGCCAGCAGCCGCGGUAAUACGUAGGUGGCAAGCGUUAUCCGGAAUUAUUGGGCGUAAAGCGCGCGUAGGCGGUUUUUUAAGUCUGAUGUGAAAGCCCACGGCUCAACCGUGGAGGGUCAUUGGAAACUGGAAAACUUGAGUGCAGAAGAGGAAAGUGGAAUUCCAUGUGUAGCGGUGAAAUGCGCAGAGAUAUGGAGGAACACCAGUGGCGAAGGCGGCUUUCUGGUCUGUAACUGACGCUGAUGUGCGAAAGCGUGGGGAUCAAACAGGAUUAGAUACCCUGGUAGUCCACGCCGUAAACGAUGAGUGCUAAGUGUUAGGGGGUUUCCGCCCCUUAGUGCUGCAGCUAACGCAUUAAGCACUCCGCCUGGGGAGUACGACCGCAAGGUUGAAACUCAAAGGAAUUGACGGGGACCCGCACAAGCGGUGGAGCAUGUGGUUUAAUUCGAAGCAACGCGAAGAACCUUACCAAAUCUUGACAUCCUUUGACAACUCUAGAGAUAGAGCUUUCCCCUUCGGGGGACAAAGUGACAGGUGGUGCAUGGUUGUCGUCAGCUCGUGUCGUGAGAUGUUGGGUUAAGUCCCGCAACGAGCGCAACCCUUAAGCUUAGUUGCCAUCAUUAAGUUGGGCACUCUAAGUUGACUGCCGGUGACAAACCGGAGGAAGGUGGGGAUGACGUCAAAUCAUCAUGCCCCUUAUGAUUUGGGCUACACACGUGCUACAAUGGACAAUACAAAGGGCAGCGAAACCGCGAGGUCAAGCAAAUCCCAUAAAGUUGUUCUCAGUUCGGAUUGUAGUCUGCAACUCGACUACAUGAAGCUGGAAUCGCUAGUAAUCGUAGAUCAGUAUGCUACGGUGGAUACGUUCCCGGGUCU